rnacentral:rRNA from 1 species
GGCGCACAGCGGAGGACAUGUGGUUUAAUUCGAUGAUACGCGAGGAACCUUACCCGGGUUUGAACGCAUUCGGACCGAGGUGGAAACACCUCUUCUAGCAAUAGCCGUUUGCGAGGUGCUGCAUGGUUGUCGUCAGCUCGUGCCGUGAGGUGUCGGCUUAAGUGCCAUAACGAGCGCAACCCUUGCCACUAGUUACUAACAGGUGAUGCUGAGGACUCUGGUGGGACUGCCAGCGUAAGCUGCGAGGAAGGCGGGGAUGACGUCAAAUCAGCACGGCCCUUACAUCCGGGGCGACACACGUGUUACAAUGGCGUGGACAAAGGGANGCCACCUGGCGACAGGGAGCGAAUCCCCAAACCACGUCUCAGUUCGGAUCGGAGUCUGCAACCCGACUCCGUGAAGCUGGAUUCGCUAGUAAUCGCGCAUCAGCCAUGGCGCGGUGAAUACGUUCCCGGGCCUUGUACACACCGCCCGU